GAUGAAGAACGCAGCGAAAUGCGAUAAGUAGUGUGAAUUGCAGAAUUCAGUGAAUCAUCGAAUCUUUGAACGCACAUUGCGCCCUUUGGUAUUCCAAAGGGCAUGCCUGUUCGAGCGUCAUUUGUACCCUCAAGCUUUGCUUGGUGUUGGGCGUCUUGUCUCUAGCUUUGCUGGAGACUCGCCUUAAAGUAAUUGGCAGCCGGCCUACUGGUUUCGGAGCGCAGCACAAGUCGCACUCUCUAUCAGCAAAGGUCUAGCAUCCAUUAAGCCUUUUUUUCAACUUUUGACCUCGGAUCAGGUGGGGAUACCCGCUGAACUUAAGCAUAUCAAUAAGCGGAGGA
rnacentral:misc_RNA from 1 species